UAAAGAGUCAAGACUACAGUCGGUUGAGAAUACAAACAGGUCAAAACUCACACCCGAAAUCACCCCCUCUUUCACUCGUCAAGCAAAGAAGCUUUAAAAAAAAGAAAAGAAAAAUAAAAACAGCAACAAAAUCGUGAGACAUAAGCACAGAGUUGCAAAGCAAGUUUCAGCACGCCCACGCAGCCGCGUAGCAAGACGCACGCAGAGGCAAACCGUGCCGCGAGCCAGUCGCUGCCAGACCGGAGGUGCCACGUCUGUGAACUCGGAGUGACAGCAGCUUCCCUCCCUCGGCGAAACGCUCCAGCCUCCCCCGUCACCUCCUCCUCUCUUGCGGUCCUUCCUGCUACCUGUCUUUCCACCACCACCAGCAGCAGCAGCUCAGUCUGCGUCUGUGUGGCCAGCCCCUGACCGAGUGCAGUGACCAAGAAUUGCUAUUGUCACCUUCCCCGACCUGCAAAUUCUCCUUUCACUUUGGCUUACAAGUGCGUGUGGAGAUUAUGCUACCUGGACCGACAAGUGCUUGCACGAUCGAGAGUAAUUAAUUUUCAUGACGCACUCUCCCAGGAGUGCAACACCGUCAGGCGUGUUUAAAUGCUCGGUGUGUCUAAAAGUAGAUAGAACUUACUUUUUAACUGUGUGAUUUUUAAAGGGAGCGAACAAGGACGAAGAAAAUCACACCAGAAUGCUGUUGAGCAAGUGUUUUAGUCCUGAAGACUAAUCAUAAACAAUGAAACGACUUCAAGGACCUUUGGUGGACUGUUCUCACUUGUAUACAUGGUGGGCUUGCAGCAUGAUCAUAACAUGGCCGGCUCCUUGUUACUUUAAUGUGCGAUGAUAACAGGUGCAGGAAGGAAAUAGAUCAACUUUUCACAAGCAACGCCUAACUGGAGGUUACUGAGGACUGGAAGGUAUAAACUAUCGCUAUCCUCACGACUGACAAGGUGAAGGAAACCAGAAGAAGAAUACAGCUCUGAAGAGAAGACAUUUUACCAUUAGGAGCCAGGGAGCUUGGAGGCGACUCAUCUCGGUGAAAACAGAUUUAUCGCUUUCUUUGUCUGGAGUAUACCAGAGGUCAUUUCUAGCACCAGUCUACACACCCAGGAACCCGUUGCCAUGAGACCGCAGCUACGGACGAGUUCAGAGCAGCGUCGCCGCUCCAGCGCGUGCCUGCUCCUGGAGCCCGGAUGUUCUCCUCUGGAUCCUUUGAAACGCCGGGGCUCCAGCAUCGCCAACGGUGGAACCAGCGGCCAUUUCCUGGCCGUUCCAGACCUCAGGAACCGUCGCUCCUCACUCAGUACCUCGACUUCCUCUCUUCUCAGCAUCGUCGAGGGCAGCAAGAAGCGAGGAUCCUUCACGUCCUCAUCUGCAACCGGAAGUCUGCUGUGCGUGCCGCAGGAGACAGAGCUCCGGCGGCGGUCGCUUCCGGGGUCACUGGAGGUGAACAGCGUGUCCACCUCACCCGCUGUGUGGAGCCGGCGUCGCUCCUCGGUGUCGCCUCGCGUUUCUGUUUCAGACGUGAACACUGUCGGAGCCAGAAAAAUGAAGGCUUUUGGGUUCGGUAUGAUCCUGUUUCUGAUCUUCGUGUUAAGCGUAUCGUUUCUCAGACUUAUUGUGCACUGAAAUAUAAACUGAAACGAGUCAUGGAUGCCAUUUUUUUUCUAAGACAAACUGUGCACAAAACUGCAAAAAGGCUGGUUAUUUAUUGUCCGGGUUCCAUUUUUCAAAUCAUCAUCAUCACGACCACUUCCAUUACACAGCUCUGCUGAUUUGACAGGCAUCGUUCAGUUCUGACCAGUGUAUAUAAUCAGUAUCUACUUUGACAAGUCUUGGAACAUUUGAUGACUUUGUUUUAAGGAUGUAUAUCCUGCAAUUUACUACCACAGAUCUGCUGCUGCAUAUAUAAGCUUUAUAAUCUUUUGGAGAAGUGAACAUAUCUGACGAUUACAAUGAGAAGUACUCUGUACUGUACAGUACACUAGGACCUCAAGACGCAUGUACUCGUACAUAAAUUGUAUGUAUUAGAGAAGUAUGUACAAAGCCAGGUGGAAGUGAAUGUCAGAACCUUGAGAGAAGUUCUGACUGUUAAAGGCCUCGCAAGAUUUCUGCUUGUGGUUUUUCACAUACUACAAUUUCACAUUCACAACGUCAGUGGAGUUUUAAUCAAAGUAAAGAAACUGUGAAACUUACUGUUAUAUAUUUUUAUCAUGAAAUAAAACUUUAUUGCAUACAAUAUAUAGAAAAUAACACACAGAGACCUGAAAAAAGUUAAUAAUUAAAAGAAACCUCUUCAGGAGAUAUUGCAAAAUAUUUCGAAAUCAAGUUAAGAAAAUAUUAACUUUGUUUCUAACCUCUGUAUGAAGACGUUUGAAAUAAAUGGUCUAGUGAAGAUAAAUGGAUGUCCAUGGAUGCGUUUUGUCUUAGCUCUAAAAAAAUGUACACCAUAAGUUAUUUGUUUCCAGGGCACCGUAAGUCUUGAUAAACACCAGCACUUUAAAUGGACUUUAACAAGGAAUCUUUAAACUAGCAAUAUCUCAAAGGCGACAAUUAUGAAUUUGAAAAGACAAAACGUCAGCUAAAACACGCACCAGGAUAAAUGAACCAUUUCACCAGUCAUCCUGGAGUACGUCUCUUCUUUCAUUCUAGUUUUGGAAAAUUACAGCAGAAAUGUUCUGUCUCCACUUCUCUUUAGUGUUGGAAAAUUACUGCACUCUCUCUCUCUCUCUUAUAUCAUUCCGCUGGUCUGUUCUUGUGUCUUCCUCUGUCUGUCGGUGUUGACAAUAUAAUGGAGUCCAAAUGAAUUAGAAACAGUAUUGGAGGAGGUCAGGGAGUGUACGCGCCAGCUGUCUGUGAGUGGUGUUUGAUCCACUGGUCGUCGCCAGCGUGUAGCAAUAUCCUGGCAUUGCUCCAAGACCGCGGUGCCGCCGCGUGCCGCAGACAGGCAGGACAAAGUUAUCAGACCGACCAUCCAUUGAGCUCUCAUGACAGGGAUCACCCGUCCUGCCUCUCUCUUCCUCCCACCCACCCAGUUCCUUUGUCAAUGAUACUUUGUAGUCUUUCUGAUUUUAGCUUCUGGAAGGCAUAGUUUCGCAAUUCAGAAACUUUUUUCCUUAAAAUAGAAUAAGAUAAUGGAAUACGUGAGUCUCAUUGGCAAGAUAAAAAACACAAGGAAACAGAGUAGGAAUUUUCCAACCCUAAAGAUGGUGGACGAACUACUUACACUUUUUUGCGCGAGAGAGAUAUCAAGACUCGUAGUAAGUUGUUCUCCAUCAGCUUCUCAGAUGUGUUUUUGUCACAGAUGUCAAUAGAUGAGAGACGUGGUUCCUUUGUCUUCAUUGAAACUGCAGAUGAGCUGCACCAAGAACUAGCACUGGACCUCCAUAAGCAGCGUGUUAACCUCUCCUAUCAGCCAUCUGCCUCGAGGCUUACAUGAGACUCGGGUCUUCAACGAUCGGCGAUAGCAAAGAUAUCUCGCCACUGCCGACGAUUACCCUUCAUAUUCUCAUUAGAUAUUAUCUGCUAACAUGAAGCGAGGUAUGCGUAGAGUAGUAUUUCACUGUCAACUUGAGGAGCAUUGUCUAAAAAUGACAUGUCUGAAGGUUCACGGCAAACAUUAUGCCUUUAUCCUGUGAGCUGCGUUCACUCAUCCCGGUUUCGUUGAACGAGUGGUGAGGCAAGAUCAUAAAGAGCCGAUAUGAGAGAAGAGAGGAGAGAGAGAGAGGUGCACAGAAAUCAAUGCGAGCAAUCUAAGAGCUUAAGUGGACCAGCUGUCCAUGGAAAUGGCGAUUAUGGGUAUUUUCUGGAAGUAAGUAACAUCUCUCAUGGUUCUUCUCCAGUUGCAAAACGAAUCUCAUUCACAUCCUCUCACAUCGCUUCAUGAACGUUUCUUCCAAGCGCUUAAUCUGAUUUUUACACACACCCACACGUGGAUGCACACGGAGAGAGAGAGAGAGGGUAGGUUAUUUUCUAACGGUCUCUUUCCUAUGGACUUAAUAGAUGUACUUACUCAACAGUCAAUAUUCAAAAAUAACUUUGCCAGCAGGUGUUGUCGGUUACGGUUUAAUUAAGCCUUCGCUUGAUAACAUUAAAGGAGCCGCUAAAAAGCCGAAAAAUUGCUUACAUCGCGCACCGUUUUAAUCGUUUUGCGCUUCCUGUUUUGGCUUGCUUGCACUGACUGACAAUUUCCGUCAGAUUGCUUUCAAUUUUCAAGGAACUAUUGGCACAACACAGUUCUUAUUUCAAACACGUUUAGGCGUUAAAUCUCUUGAUUUGAAAACAGCCCCAAAGGGCAGUGUACAUUCGAUUUAAAAAAAAAACUUCUUAACUAAACAAAGAUAAGAAAAAUGUUUUAAGAAAUGAAAACUAGAAAUAGAAAACUACUGAAGCCGGACAUCCACAUCCAUCUGCACAUGCCAAUGUAAAAAUAUGGCCCAGUGAAAAACCAGGGAAGUGAACCAUUUUCAUGCAAAGUGGAAACAGACAGAGCUACUGAAUGGAUUGUUUAGUCGACAAACUCAAAACUCGCAGAACAAAUAAAGUUUGAUGCGUUAGUUGAUGUGGUGAUGCUAUUUUCAAACUUUCAUGCGCAGGGUUUCUACCGAGCAUUAGAGCUUUAUAACACAAGAAGCGCGAAAUCUUUGGUAAGCUUGCUAUUACAGUCGUAACAUACCCCUCUAAAAGUACUUUGACAGAAACAGAACACAUUCCUUCAUGCCUCUAGCACCAUGGAGGGCUGUUCUCUAAUUUAUUAGUUUACUGUUUUGUUGAAAGGUAUUUAUGAGAAUAAGAAACUUUUCCGAGAUAUUAGCUUUUGUUUGAGCCACUACAGCAUGUUAUGAAUAUUUCAUUUCAAGAUGACAGCACUUUGAUAAAAAAAAUCCCGAUUACACACCAUUAAGCAAUUUGGAAACCACUAAGAUUUUUGCUUUUAAAUGGUAAUUUCAUUCCUUUAGAAAUGAGCUAUUCUGGAUCGAAGAAGCAGAGGAUCCAUUGAAAGAACGAAAGAGCAAAGGCUGUGAGCUACUUCAGGGCCAAUUUUGCUGAAAAUGAUGGCAGGGGUGCCAGAGAGAAAGCUAUUUAUGUCACGUAAUGGGAAAGUUUAUGAAGGGAAUAAGUUCUCUUUUUGUAUCACACUUCAAUGUUUUGUUAAUACAAAGGCUGACCUUUAUGGUCCAUGGCAUUACUAAUCAUCGCCAUGCCACCCAGAGAAGAAAAAUGUGUGUGGCCAUUUUUUAGCAUGAGAUGC